rnacentral:rRNA from 1 species
UACGAAGGGGGCUAGCGUUGCUCGGAAUUACUGGGCGUAAAGCGCACGUAGGCGGCUUUCUAAGUCGGGGGUGAAAUCCUGGAGCUCAACUCCAGAACUGCCUUCGAUACUGGAAAGCUCGAGUCCGGGAGAGGUGAGUGGAACUGCGAGUGUAGAGGUGAAAUUCGUAGAUAUUCGCAAGAACACCAGUGGCGAAGGCGGCUCACUGGCCCGGUACUGACGCUGAGGUGCGAAAGCCAGGGGAGCAAACGGG